GUGAGCCAAGAUCACACCACUGCACUCUGGCCUGAGCGACAGAGCAAGAUUCCCUCUCAAAAAAUAAAUAAAUAACGCCAUGGGGUGACUACUUCAUUUUAAAAUUUUAGCUAGAAGACUUAGGAUACAAUUAGAACAACUGUAAACCAAAUCAACUCUGAGUUUCAAUGGGGGUAUACUCAUGACUUGAUAUAACAGGAUGUGGGCAAACAAAAUCUAAUCAGGAUAAUCGUUCAUUUCUGAAAGAGAAAACUACACUACAGCAAACUCCAUCAUAUAAAGGAAAAAUUGUGCUUUCACUUUUUUGGUGGCAUCACCUCCAAUGUUUACUCAACUCCUUGGCAAGGGUGGGAAAUCAUAAAAAGCUAGAGAUUUAAGAUACCUCAGAGAUCAUUUGGUCAAAAUCCCUCAUUUAGUCGAAAUCCCUCAUUGUAUAGUUCAGAAAACAGGCCUAAAAUGGUGAAGCAAUUCAACUAAGGUCCUAUAGCUAGCUAUAUAGCCAAUUUUAGAAGUCAGGUUUCUAUUCCAGGUCUGGUACUCUUUCUGUUUCUUUUCAGAUCUUCCUGAGUCUUCAGUAUGAUGAAAUUAUGAAAUAUUUUUAAAUUUUAUGAUUAGACAUCCCUAUAUUUAAAUGUUACAACAAAAAUGCCUAACAAAAUUAAAAUGUACAUGCCUCCAUUAGUACAGAUGAUGAAAAGUUCACUGUAUCUAGACAAAAAAUAUUAUUGGUAUAACAUUCUCUUGAAAAGUAAUACAUAAAUCAGGCCAGGUACAGUGGUCUACGAAAAAAGAGAAUGUAAUAUCAUAUUUUACUUGUACCACAACCACUCCACCCUAUCCCCAGCCCUGCUGUUAGCAUAGGACCAGACACACAGAAGACUAUUAGCACUUGUUAAAUGAGUUGUCAUCUGUCCAAAUUUUUGUUAACACUUUAUUUUAUAGCUGCUUUUCUAUUUAUUCUGCAGUUCAUUCUCUAACACUGCUGCCUAUGAAGGUUGCAUCUCUCUUUACCCUUCCUUUCCUUUAUUUCACAGAAAUACCCAUUCUUCCCUAUCCCCUCAGAUAUUUUUAGUCAUCUCAUUCAUGAACUACCAAAAACCUCAACUUCCUCACAGCCCCCACUCUUCUACUUAGAACCAAAUACUGCUAAGUAACAUUAAUUUCCUUUUUUUUUUUCUUUUGAAAUUUUUUGUAGAGACAGUGUCUCACUCUGUUGCCCAGGCUAGUCUCAACCUCCUGGGCUCAAGCAAUCCUCCUGCCUCAGCCUCCCAAAAUGCUGGGAUUACAGGCAUGAGCCAACCACAUUCAGCCUUAAUUUGCUAAUGUUUUGAACACAUCACUUUCUGUACCUUCUUUCCAUGUUGAGCUACAUCAAAACUAGCUUUGAUUUUCUAAAUGACAAGACUGCUACCUCCCCUCAUUCCAACCCUUGCCAAAACCCACUCUGUGUAGGGAAACCAUUUCAGAGCUCACUGGUCAGAUGAAUAUCCACCCACCAAAAGUUCUGAGAGUUCACCCACCUUUCUGCCUGUGUCAAAUUUAUUUGGGAAAAAAAACAGUGUCAGUUGAGAUAAAAAGCCUAUAGAAGAAAUGUUUGUUGGUGUUGUGUGGGUGUGUCAGAGGAUGAACACAUGCAUGUGUGUUUAUGUACAUGUAUUACAUAUGCAGACACACACAUACACACAUACACACACACAUAUAUAAUAAAUAUAUUCUGCCCAAAUUAGCACAAACCCACAAGCUUAAAAACCAAAUCUGCUAAAUCUGACUCAAACAACAGGUACUGAGCCUACAGCUACUUCCUGCAAGCAGAUGCAUUACCUCUGUGACAAAGUCAGUUGUGAGUUGCAAAAAGGAUAGGUAAAUAUCAUUAAGAUAAGUUAAGAUUCUGCUUUCUAAAAAAAUUUAAAUGCAAAACAUUACCUCAGGACACUGGCCACACUGUAUGAUUUCUGCAUAAUACCCAGCAUAUCCUAGACACUAAAGAAUACUAAAUUUACAACUUAAGCAGGAAAACAGAGGCUUGCUUCACAGUGGUUUAAUAUGAACAGAGUUGAAUAUGACAUUGUCUGACAGAAGAAUGAAC
rnacentral:lncRNA from 10 species